CAGCAGCCGCGGUAAUACAGAGGGUGCGAGCGUUAAUCGGAUUUACUGGGCGUAAAGCGUGCGUAGGCGGCUUCUUAAGUCGGAUGUGAAAUCCCUGAGCUUAACUUAGGAAUUGCAUUCGAUACUGGGAAUCUAGAGUAUGGGAGAGGAUGGUAGAAUUCCAGGUGUAGCGGUGAAAUGCGUAGAGAUCUGGAGGAAUACCGAUGGCGAAGGCAGCCAUCUGGCCUAAUACUGACGCUGAGGUACGAAAGCAUGGGGAGCAAACAGGAUUAGAUACCCCCGUAGUCCCUGUCUCUUAUAC
rnacentral:rRNA from 1 species